rnacentral:rRNA from 1 species
UACGUAGGGGGCGAGCGUUGUCCGGAAUCAUUGGGCGUAAAGAGCUCGUAGGCGGCUCAGAAAGUCGGCUGUGAAAGCUCGGGGCUCAACCCCGAGACUGCAGUCGAUACUGCUGUGGCUAGAGUCCGGUAGAGGAGAGUGGAAUUCCCGGUGUAGCGGUGAAAUGCGCAGAUAUCGGGAGGAACACCAGCAGCGAAGGCGGCUCUCUGGGCCGGAACUGACGCUGAGGAGCGAAAGCGUGGGGAGCAAACAGG